rnacentral:rRNA from 1 species
CAGAUUGAACGCUGGCGGCAUGCCUUACACAUGCAAGUCGAACGGCAGCGCGGGAGCAAUCCUGGCGGCGAGUGGCGAACGGGUGAGUAAUACAUCGGAACGUGCCCAAUCGUGGGGGAUAACGCAGCGAAAGCUGUGCUAAUACCGCAUACGAUCUACGGAUGAAAGCAGGGGACCGCAAGGCCUUGCGCGAAUGGAGCGGCCGAUGGCAGAUUAGGUAGUUGGUGAGGUAAAGGCUCACCAAGCCUUCGAUCUGUAGCUGGUCUGAGAGGACGACCAGCCACACUGGGACUGAGACACGGCCCAGACUCCUACGGGAGGCAGCAGUGGGGAAUUUUGGACAAUGGGCGCAAGCCUGAUCCAGCCAUGCCGCGUGCAGGAUGAAGGCCUUCGGGUUGUAAACUGCUUUUGUACGGAACGAAACGGCUCUUUCUAAUAAAGAGGGCUAAUGACGGUACCGUAAGAAUAAGCACCGGCUAACUACGUGCCAG